rnacentral:rRNA from 1 species
AAACCAACAGGGAUUGCCUCAGUAACGGCGAGUGAAGCGGCAAAAGCUCAAAUUUGAAAUCUAGUACCUUCGGUGCUCGAGUUGUAAUUUGAAGAUGGUAACUUUGGAGUUGGCCCUUGUCUAUGUUCCUUGGAACAGGACGUCACAGAGGGUGAGAAUCCCGUCUGGCGAGGUGAUCCAACUCUAUGUAAAGUGCUAUCGAAGAGUCGAGUUGUUUGGGAAUGCAGCUCUAAGUGGGUGGUAAAUUCCAUCUAAAGCUAAAUAUUGGCGAGAGACCGAUAGCGAACAAGUACAGUGAUGGAAAGAUGAAAAGAACUUUGAAAAGAGAGUGAAAAAGUACGUGAAAUUGUUGAAAGGGAAGGUUAUUAGAUCAGACUUGGUGUUUUACGAUUAUCUUCCCUUCUUGGGUUGUGCACUCGUAUUUCACUGGGCCAGCAUCGAUUCGGAUGGUAAGAUAAUGACAUUGGAACGUGGCUUGCUUCGGGAAGUGUUAUAGCCUUUGUUGAUAUUGCCUAUCUGGAUCGAGGACUG